GCGUAGGUGGUUUGAUAAGUCAGCGGUGAAAGUUUGCAGCUUAACUGUAAAAAUGCCGUUGAAACUGUCGGACUUGAGUGUAAAUGAGGUAGGCGGAACGCGUGGUGUAGCGGUGAAAUGCAUAGAUAUCACGCAGAACUCCGAUUGCGAAGGCAGCUUACUAAGCUACAACUGACACUGAAGCACGAAAGCGUGGGGAUCAAACAGGAUUAGAUACCCUGGUAGUCACGCAGUAAACGAUGAUUACUAGCUGUUUGCGAUACACAGUAAGCGGCACAGCGAAAGCGUUAAGUAAUCCACCUGGGGAGUACACCGGCAACGGUGAAACUCAAAGGAAUUGACGGGGGCCCGCACAAGCGGAGGAACAUGUGGUUUAAUUCGAUGAUACUCGAGGAACCUUACCCGGGUUUGAACGUAGGGAGACAGGGGUGGAAACGUCCUUUUCAGCAAUGACUGCCUACUAGGUGCUGCAUGGUUGUCGUCAGCUCGUGCCGUGAGGUGUCGGCUUAAGUGCCAUAACGAGCGCAACCCUUAUUUUCAGUUACUAACAGGUAAUGCUGAGGACUCUGAAGAGACUGCCAGCGUAAGCUGUGAGGAAGGUGGGGAUGACGUCAAAUCAGCACGGCCCUUACAUCCGGGGCGACACACGUGUUACAAUGGUAAGGACAAAGGGCAGCUACCGGGCGACCGGAUGCUAAUCUCUAAACCUUAUCUCAGUUCGGAUCGGAGUCUGCAACUCGACUCCGUGAAGCUGGAUUCGCUAGUAAUCGCGCAUCAGCCAUGGCGCGGUGACUACGUUCCCGGGCCUUGUACACACCGCCCGUCAAGCCAUGGGAGCCGGGGGUACCUGAAGUUCGUAACCGCAAGGAUCGACCUAGGGUAAAACUGGUGACUGGGGCUAAGUCGUAACAAGGUAGCCGUAAUCU
rnacentral:rRNA from 1 species